UGUUCUUCCAGCCGUCCACAUUCGCGCGCUUUCGUUCAAUCCAGGCGGGCGCGUGGGCGGCCGUCAAAGAGGCAAGGCUGGGAAUGGGGAAUAGGCUAUGGAACUGCACAGAACAGGUUUAUCUGCAAUCAUGGGGACUUAUUUUACAACUUGAGGUAGCUUGCAGAUGUAAGAGUUCGGUUUACAUUAGGAACACUUGACAAGCAAGGGAGAGACUACCUUACCAAAAUAAACUGAUCUAUCAAAUCAGCUUUGUUGGCAUCUAACUAUUCCAGUAACCACAGCAACUGGGAUCAUGACAAGGAGGACAGUGGACAACUACAGACUUAAGCUUGACUGUAGUAAGGAAGAAGUUAACAUCCAUUAUCAACAUGAUGACUGGACAUUUAGCUAACUGCAAAAUUGGGCAUUGUCAGCAUGGAAUGAUUAAAGGGAAACCAUGUUUGACAAACCAUUUGGGUGUUUUGAGGAUUUACGGAUAAAGAAACCGAUGGA